rnacentral:lncRNA from 1 species
CAGCAUAAGAGAUUUUAACGAUGCUUUCCAAAGAAUAGUCUUAUACAAUAACACAUUAUAUGAUCUGUUACAUAUUUGAUCUUCUUCUGAUGUGAUUUGAACGCAGCUUCAGGAUGAACUUUUUGUUCACAAACCAAAUCUUCAAAACCGAUGUCUCCAAACAUAAUUCCAAAAAUAGUCACUUUGGUACUAUUUAGUCCGUACCAAAAUCCUUCCAAGAUAUUGUA